AUUUCUAAAUCGCUGAAACCAUCAGGUACGGGGGAACCAUUUUUUGUGGAUUGUUUCAUAAUCCGAGGGGUGAAUCCUUUUUAGGUAGGGCUACUCAAAGGCCCGAAUCCGACAGCUAACCUCGUAAGCGUUAUAUUGAGAAGGA
rnacentral:sRNA from 2 species